ACCACAUCUAAGGAAGGCAGCAGGCGCGCAAAUUACCCAAUCCAGACAUUGGGAGGUAGUGACGAGAAAUACCGGAGUUAACCUUUUAGGUAAACUAUCGGAAUGAACAUAAUUUAAUACCUUUGUUGAGUAUCUAUUGGAGGGCAAGUCUGGUGCCAGCAGCCGCGGUAAUUCCAGCUCCAAUAGUGUAUAUCAAUAUUGCUGCAGUUAAAAAGCUCGUAGUUGAAUUACAAAGGAUAUUGUCAGAGUAUGUUUUAUAUCAAUAAAAUAUUCUCAUUCAAUUUCCUUUUUAUCGUAAGAGCUAGUAAUGAAAUUCACUUUUUGUUGCUAGUGACUUGCGGAGUGUGCCUUGAAUAAAGCAAAGUGCUCAAUACAAGCGUCCGCUCGAAUGUAGUAGCAUGGUACGAAUAUCGGUGACGCCAAUCCGUGUUGGUUUUGGAUUGGUGUCUAGAUUAAAAGGGACAUUUGAGGGCGUUAGUACUUGGUGGCGAGAGGUGAAAUUCUUAGACCCACCAAAGACUCACUAAUGCGAAAGCGUUCGCCAAGACUGUUUUCAUUAAUCAAGAACGAAGGUUGGAGGUUCGAAGACGAUCAGAUACCGUCGUAGUUCCACACAGUAAACAAUGCCAACUUGAAUUCAGCGUGUAUAAACAUAUACGUUGGCUUCUCCGGGAAACCAAGUCUUCGGGCUCUGGGGAUAGUAUAGUUGCAAGUCUGAAAUUUAAAGAGAUUGACGGAAGGGCACCACCAGGAGUGGAGCCUGCGGCUUAAUUUGACUCAACACGGGGAAACUCACCAGGUCCGGACAUCGAUAGGAUUGACAGAAUGACAGAUCUUUCAUGAUACGGUGAUUGGUGGUGCAUGGCCGUUCUUAGUUGGUGGAGUGAUCUGUCAGGUUAAUUCCGGUAACGAGCGAGACCACAAUCUCUAAUUGAUUACAUUCCCACUUAUUUCGGG
rnacentral:rRNA from 1 species